AGCCCUAUUUUCUAUUUAUUUUUAUUAUAAAAAGAUAUUUAUUUUUAUAUAAUAAGCGUCGCCAACAACUCCCCCACACUUGGUCUUUUGCUCGUCCUCGAGUGAAGGCACUUAGGACCAAAUGGGUUCAUCAUCCUUGUCAAAGAGCCUGCAUACAGGUUAUUCCAAGCUUCACUUGGGUUUGUGAACUUCAAAGUGUCUACCACAUAAAUAUUUGGUGAUUGAAAUAUGGAACAGCCUGGAUUCAAGUCCUCUUGACUUUGUUCUUACUUAAGACACUUGGGUUUUUUGUAAGUUUUUGAAAUAAAAACAUGGCUUGUGAUUCCUUGAAUGAUUCUUUCAAAUCGCUCAUAUGUGUAAGUGGUUCCUUACCAAGGCAUAGAAGAUUGAUGCCUUCUUAUGAUCUUCCUACCUCUAAAAGCUUUAUCUGGAUUUUUAGGUAGGUAUAAAACGUGGGCAUACUUGCAGCACAUAUGUUGCAAAGUCAAAAACUGGACCACUAGGAGAUACAAGCCUUACGCCUUGAUUGAGAUUGUGCAAAUGUGUGGAAAUUGUUUGUGGAAUUGAUGGAAAUCCUAAUUCUAAAUAUUUUUGGUCACUCCUUUUUGCAUCAUGACUCUCUUUUAUUUUGAAGGAUAAAAGAGAGAGACAGAGAGAGGAAAACAUAUGGGCUCUACCUUGUGUAUAUUUUUCCCUGUUUUCUUUUUUUUUCAUGAUGGGGAUGUUUGAUUUUUUUUCCCAUCUAUGCCUCUUUGGUUUUUUUCCUUUGAUUUUUUUUCAACUAUAGCCCAUAUGUCUUGAUGAAUGGAAUCAGAGAAAUUUAAAGAGAUGUCAUGCGGACAGAAAUUAAGGAGUGAAUUUGGGGAUGCGCAAAUCUCAGGAUGAGAGUUUGGCAUUUUUAUUUGGUGGAAAGCUAAGGCACAACUCUCAAGAUAAGAGUUGGCAAAAUUUUUGGUGGAUGGAAGGGUGCAUGUUGUGUGCGACUUCUUAGUGUAAGAGUCGGCUUUAUUUGGUGGGUGUAAGUGAAUCUCUAAUCAUGGGCGUAAGACCAUAAUCUCGCUUGGGUCACAACAAUUUGACAAAGCUCAACAUACUACAAGCAGCAUAUGACUGAAGGUUUCAUCAUGAUCAAGGUAUAUUUGGUGUUGUUAGGUGAAAGCUUAAAACCAUUAAAGGAAACUUGCCAUGUGUAACUUUUGUUUUUGAUAAAAUAAAUCCCAAGUACUUUGUAAGAACUUAGCAAGAAUCAUGUCAUCCUACUAUAUCACAUAUGUCAAUUACUUAGAUAAAGUGGGGUCCCUACUACAAGUGUUCAUAACCUCAAGGAUAUUAGCAAGGAUUAAACCAUAUGCAAAGCAAAUUUGAAACUAGGAGACAUGUUAAAUGGAGUUUGAAGGUAACGAUAUUUUAAAUAUUUUAUUUUUUGAAAAACUUUUUAGAAGGGGGAGAAGGUUGUGCAAACUGAGUUCUCGAAGAUUCCCUCCCCCACACUUGUUUUCUUCUCUGUCAUGGUUAGUCAUAAUAUAUAAAGAAAACAAGUGCUCAUAAUAACUCAGAAAUAUUAUUGAUAACUUUGAAAAGGCACAUUACAUUAUUGAAGGGAAAUAAAUUAAGCAACAAAGAAGAUCAUGCUUGUGCCUAAACAAUCAGAAGCGUGCAGGAGAUGUGGUCUAAAGAUUUUCCACGAGGCGACCAACACCUAGGUUUUCAGCGACCUUCCUCAGCUUAUUGUUGAACCUGAAACGAAACCUAUUGAUAUCGUCACUGAGGUUCCUAUUCUCAGUAUGCUUCUCUUCUAGGUCGUCUUCUAAAACCCUUAGGACAGAGCGAAGGCUAGCUUGCUCGGAUUUAAGAUCAGCGAGGAUACUAGGAUCAUCCUCCUCAUCGCUGCUCUCAUACUGUCUGUUGACGGUCCUUAAUGCUCACAAUUAACCAUCAACUAAUCAUAGAAAAGGAUCCAAAUGCAACCA
rnacentral:lncRNA from 1 species